AGAGUUUGAUCAUGGCUCAGGAUGAACGCUGGCGGUAUGCUUUACACAUGCAAGUCGAACGGAAGUGUGCUUGCACACUUGAGUGGCGGACGGGUGAGUAACACGUAAGAAUUUGCCUUUAGGAGGGGGACACACUGGAAACGGUAGCUAAUACCCCAUAUGCUUUCGAGUGAAAUGGAUUUUUCCGCCUAGAGAGAAGCUUGCGGCUGAUUAGCUUGUUGGUAAGGUAAUGGCUUACCAAGGCGACGAUCAGUAUCUGGUUUGAGAGGACGAUCAGACACACUGGAACUGAGACACGGUCCAGACUCCUACGGGAGGCAGCAGUGGGGAACUUUGGACAAUGGGCGCAAGCCUGAUCCAGCCAUGCCGCGUGAGUGAAGAAGGCCUUCGGGUUGUAAAGCUCUUUCGGCGGGGACGAAACGGUUCGUGACAACACCACGGACUAAUGACGGUACCCGCAUAAGAAGCACCGGCUAACUACGUGCCAGCAGCCGCGGUAAUACGUAGGGUGCAGGCGUUAAUCGGAAUUACUGGGCGUAAAGCGUGCGCAGGCGGUUUGUUAAGACAGGUGUGAAAUCCCCGGGCUUAACCUGGGAAUUGCGCUUGUAACUGGCAGGCUAGAGUGUGGCAGAGGGGGGUGGAAUUCCACGUGUAGCAGUGAAAUGCGUAGAUAUGUGGAGGAACACCGAUGGCGAAGGC
rnacentral:rRNA from 1 species